CUUUACUGCAACUUGACAGUGAAGUUCGGGACAAUCUGCGUAGGAUAGGUGGGAGGCUUUGAAGCCGGGAUUCUGGUCUCGGUGGAGCCACCGUUGAAAUACCACCCUGAUUGUUCUGGACUUCUAACCUAGGCCCGUGAUCCGGGUCGGGGACACUGUCUGGUGGGCAGUUUGACUGGGGCGGUCGCCUCCUAAAAAGUAACGGAGGCGCACGAAGGUUCCCUCAGGCUGAUUGGAAACCAGCCGGCGAGUGUAAAGGCACAAGGGAGCUUGACUGUGAGAUCGACAGAUCGAACAGGUGCGAAAGCAGGUCUUAGUGAUCCGGUGGCACAGUGUGGAAUGGCCAUCGCUCAACGGACAAAAGGUA
rnacentral:rRNA from 1 species